rnacentral:lncRNA from 1 species
UGUUGAUCUGUUGCAUUGCCCACCAGGUGCGGAAGCCGAGGUCAGACCAGAGGGCCAGGUGUGUCCCCACAGCUCUUGCUGGCUCUCUCUGAGGAGGUGCCAUGGAACCUCCUGGGACUGCGAGGCUGUUCCCAGGCCCAGGAGGCCCAAGAAUCUCCAGUCUGUUUGCAGGGGAGGAGACGUGUCUGGGAGCCAGGGGCAGGGGUUGGGGAAGAGCAGAAAGCAAACCCUUUGCACCUCUAGGGACCAGAUCUAGGAUUUCCUGCUGUUCGCCCUCACUAGUUGUUAGGCCUACCCCUGUGGACCUCGAGGAAGAACCAGGGCAAAAAUCGCUACCUUGAAACUCAUCUUACCAUUGGUUUGGAGCCCUCCAAGGCUCUGUCCUGGAAGGACUUUGUGCUUGAAUCUGCUGCUUAAAAAGCAAAAUAAGAUCUAUCGUGUAUGUAUUUAUUUGUUUAAAAUAUGACUUAAAUAUUAAAAAAGUUCAAGAAAUGCACAGUUUAUGGUAAUUAUUCUGAAGCAGUCCUAUUGUUCCCAAUAAAGCUUUUCUAGUGAUCCAGAAACCUUCCUCUUCCUUCCCUGCAGUGGUUCUGAUUUAUUCAUAUGACUUUAUCUGGUUUCCUGGUUUUAAUGUCACUUUAGUGGCUACAGAAUGUCUCUGCUAAAUUGUUCCCAUUCUCUUGAACGCAUAGGUCAUUUGCAAUACUUAGCUGCUCUGAAUGAUGCUGAGACAUACUUUGGUUUCCUUAGUGGAAUUUGCAGCCAGGAGACACCUUUAUUUUCAAGGUUUUUGGAAUAUGAUGAUACGUGUCCCCUCUCUCAAGGAGUUUUGCCAAUUUACACACCCAUCAGCAAUUUGAUUCAAUAAAUGCCCACUCUGAGCCAGUCCCCAGGAAUAAAUAUCAGUUUCAUCAGGCAUAAAUCCUAGUUUCACCCCAUCCUGCCCAGCAUUGGGUUUUAGUUUUCGUAGUCUAAGCAAAUCUAGGAUCUUCUAAUUGUAUGUAUGAGCUGUCUCUGUGCCCUUGGGAUGUUGUUCUUUAUGUAGUAGGAAUAAUUGUCUUUUGCCUUGUCAGAGGUUUGUAAAGCUGGGCUUCAUUUGGUCAAACCCCUUGUAGUAGAUUGAAUGACUGUGCCCCUCCUCCCCCAUAUGUCCUUGACCUAACCUCUAGAACCUGUGCUAAUGACAGUAUUUGGAAAAAGAGUCUUUGCAAAUAUAAUUAAGAUAAGGAUCUUGAGAUAAAGAGAUUAACCUGGAUUAUCUGGAUGGACUAAAUCCAAUGCGAGUGUCUUUUUGAGAGAAAGGCAGGGGAGAUUUGAGACAGAGGACAGUGGACAGCCACGUGAAAAGGAAGGCAGAGAUUGAAGUGACGCCGCUGUGGGCCACCAGACACUGGAAGAGGCUGGAAAGAUCUUCCUCUAGAUCGUUGGGUGGGAGUGUGGCCCAGUUGACACCUGAAACUAAUUUCUGACCUUUAGAACUGGGAGAGAAUCAAUAUUUGUUUUAAUCUAUCAAGUUUGCCAUACUAAGUUACAGUAUCCUUGGGAAACAAACAUACCCCCCUUUUUUGUAGCAGAAAAGGAGUCUGGUAUAG